ensembl:snRNA U6 U6 spliceosomal RNA
AUGCUCGUUUUGGCAGCACGUCUACUAAAUUGGAAUGAUACAGAGAAGAUUAGUAUGGCCCCUGGGCAAGGAUAACAUGCAAUUUGUGAAGUGUUCCAUAUUUUU